rnacentral:rRNA from 1 species
AGAGAGAGACAUGCGCGCAUAUCAAUAAGCGGAGGAAAAGAAACUAACAAGGAUUCCCUUAGUAACGGCGAGUGAAGCGGGAAGAGCUCAAAUUUGAAAUCUUCAAGGUUUUACCUUGACGAAUUGUAGUUUAAAGAAGUGUUUUCUGCUGAAGUUUUGGUAAAAGUUCUUUGGAAUAGGACAUCAUAGAGGGUGAGAAUCCCGUAUUUGACCAUUAUUUUCAGCUUUGUGAUACACUUUCAAAGAGUCGGAUUGUUUGGGAAUGCAGUCCAAAAUGGGUGGUAAAUUUCAUCUAAAGCUAAAUAUUGGCGAGAGACCGAUAGCGAACAAGUACCGUGAGGGAAAGAUGAAAAGAACUUUGAAAAGAGAGUUAAACAGUACGUGAAAUUGUCAAAAGGGAAGCGUUUGACACCAGUGUUGUUUUCCUCGAAAAUCAAUUAAAAAUGGCUCGAUUUUGUAUUGCUUGAGACCUUAAAAGCUCACUGUACAUUUUUCGUGUCUUUUUUAAUGCACUUUUCGUUUAAACAAGUCAACAUCAGUCUCUUUUGUUGUAAAAGGGUCAUUGGAAGGUGGCUUUCUUUUCGGAGAAAGUGUUUAUAGCCUUUGGCCUCUGCAAUCGGAAGAGACUGAGGUCUGCAGCGUAGACUCUUCGGGGUUAGAUACAUUUGUGCUAAGUUAUAGCUUUUUAUAGACAACUUGUUGACUAUAAUUAGUCUUGUAGCUUACUCGCUUAUGCUAUUUUACCUACGCUUAGGAUGUUGAAGAUGUAGCACAUCAU